AAAAAGGCGCCUUUCGGCGCCCCUUACAGCAAAAGAUGAAACACUU
rfam:Spinacia oleracea cultivar SynViroflay scaffold77373.con0171.1, whole genome shotgun sequence.